rnacentral:rRNA from 1 species
CACGUAGGAGGCGAGCGUUGUCCGGAAUCAUUGGGCGUAAAGAGCGCGCAGGCGGCUUGGCAAGUCGGGUGUGAAAUCCCGGGGCUCAACCCCGGGACUGCAUUCGAUACUGUCAGGCUAGAGGUAGGUAGGGGAGAUCGGAAUUCCUGGUGUAGCGGUGAAAUGCGUUGAUAUCCGAUGGAACACCGGUGGCGAAGGCGGCUUACUGGGUCUCUACUGACGCUGAGGCACGAAAGCUAGGGUAGCAAACGGG